rnacentral:lncRNA from 1 species
AGGAAGAGCGCAAAGAAGAUAAUCUGUCUGUUCCAUGAAACGUGAGCUGGGCAGCAGAGGACCAUUUACAAAACCGUUCACCCACACAUUGGCAGAUUGGUAUUGAUUGACAGCUGGGAGUUAAGCUGGUACUGCUCUGAAGUCGCCAUGACCUCUAACCUAGAUGGCUACAAUACCUACUACGACUUCUCCUUGCCUCCAGGCUGCUGACUAACUUAAUGAACUGAACGGAUUAAAAUGGUGCAAGAGAAAAGGGCAUUUUUACACAAAAGGAAGCAUUUUCUGUGUUCCAGUUCAGCUGUUCCAAUGACAUUUGGUGGUGUUAUCAGUGUGAAUUAUACAAGCAAGUUUCUUUAUCCAGACUGACGCAUCAACCAUGAUCUAGCAUUUGCAAGAUGUGUAAUUACUUUGACUUUCAAGAAAACAUCUUCUGAUCUAAGGAACUUCCCAAGAUAUCAAAGCUGGCUGGCUCAGGAAUACUCUCACAGUGAUGGCAGAAGAGCAAAUCUGGAAGUUCAAACACUCAAAUGUGUUGUUGGAUUUCUGCAUGCAUCACAUGGGCUAACAACUGGUCAAAGCAAAUCACAUGGCCAAACUAAAAAUCAAAGGCCUGGAAGACAGACAAAGUGCUAUAUUGAAGGUUACAGAAGAAUAAAGAAGUUCUGAAUAGAACAGAAGCUUUCAUAAGGCAGGGGUUAUAACGACCAACAGAGACUCCACAAAACCAUUUACUCACAAGAGAAAAUAUGGCACGGAUUGGAUUAGAAGUGGAAAGACUAAUGCAUUUUUGUCCAUAAGGAUUAGAAGAAAAAUGGUUCUCUCAGCUCUGCAAGUGAGCACAACAAGCAAUCCAAAAGCAUUAUUUGUGUGAAGCAGUUUGUAGAAUUUGUUCCAUUUGUCACUAGAACUAGUGUUUGAAGCUCAGCAAAAGUUGAGUUAUGGUUAAGCCCCAGGGUCAGUGGCCACGUGUUCAGAGUAGUACCUUAGGUUUAAAGCUGAUUCACAACCUGAAAAACACUCAGUGGUGUUCUCUCCCAAAUUAUCAAUCAUUACCUUGUGGUGUUUUAAAAAGAGGAUAGAAGAUUGCUUGACCAGAAAAUAAUGACAAUAAAAAGGAAA